rnacentral:misc_RNA from 1 species
GUAGGUGAACCUGCGGAGGGAUCAUUACAGAGAACAUCGCCCUCACGGGUGACUCUCCAACCCUAUGUUAUUAAACCUCUGUUGCUUUGGCGAGCCGCUUCGGCCACCGGCGUCUGCUGGUGUGCGCUCGCCAGAGGACCACAAACUCUUGUUUAUUAAUGUCGUCUGAGUACCAUAUAAUAGUUAAAACUUUCAACAACGGAUCUCUUGGUUCUG